ACUCAAAUGAAUUGACGGGGAGCCGCACAAGCAGAGGAGGAUGUGGUUUAAUAUGACGCUACGCGUAGAACCUUACCGAGGCUUGACAUCCUUGGAACCCACUGGAAACAGAGGGGUGCCGCAAGGAGCCAAGUGACAGGUGCUGCAUGGCCGUCGUCAGCUCGUGUCGUGAGAUGUUGGGUUAAGUCCCGCAACGAGCGCAACCCUUAUCGUAUGUUGUAUUUUUCAUGCGAGACUGCCCGGGCCAACCGGGAGGAAGGUGGGGAUGAAGUCAGGUCGGCAUGGCCCUUACGCCUCGGGCCACACACGUCCUACAAUGGCCGGUACAACGCGUUGCCAACCCGCGAGGGGGAGCUAAUCGCAACAAAACCGGUCCCAGUUCGGAUUGCAGGCUGCAACUCGCCUGCAUGAAGUCGGAUUUGCUAGUAAACGUGGGUCAGCAUACCACGUUGAAUACGUUCCCGGCUCUUGUACACACCGCCCGU
rnacentral:rRNA from 1 species